rnacentral:rRNA from 1 species
UACGUAGGGGGCAAGCGUUGUCCGGAAUUAUUGGGCGUAAAGGGCGCGUAGGCGGCUUGUUAAGUCAAAGGUGAAAUCCCUCGGCUCAACUGAGGAACUGCCUUUGAAACUAGCGAGCUUGAGGCCGGGAGGGGGUAGCGGAAUUCCCAGUGUAGCGGUGAAAUGCGUAGAUACUGGGAGGAACACCAGUGGCGAAGGCGGCUACCUGGACCGGUACUGACGCUGAGGCGCGAAAGCGUGGGUAGCAAACAGG